ACUAAAACAAACAAUGUUAUAGUGGUUUUAUUUAGUUAAGCCUUCAAAACGAGUCUAACUUUGACAAUUUAUUCUGGAAGUAAGGAGACAGAAAUUGGAUAUCUCUUUCAAGCUUUGUUAAACAAAUAUUAUAUUAAGUAUUCACUUUGCUGUUUUCAUUAUCAAAUAACACCAUUGUCGGCCCAAAAACUUUGGAAGAUUGUUUUUAUUUGUUAAUUCAGGUUAUCGAACACGAAAUCAUCUACGACUUCAAAGUUAUGACUGUCAACAGUGACGUGGAACCAAACCGCGAAUGCGACGAUUGCUUGUAUGAUGACAGGAGAUAUUUCGUGUUGCCUCGUUCACUACCAGACCCAUUUGCUUCGCUUCCUUGUCCAGUCUGGAAAAGUAACUGCGCAGAUAUUGAAGCCAACGGUAUCAAUAUCAUCGGUGUACGCCAGCAGCUGUACACUCUUAUAAAAGAUUGUGCCUUUUCUAUUGAGUUCUGCAGCUCGAACUAUUUUCUCCAGGAGUAGAUUGAAGAAGUCGCACGAUAGGAAGUCGCCUUGUCAGAAGACGGAGCUCUUGCUAAUGCUCAACGUCAGUUUACACAACCAUAUUAGUUUUGCGGGGAUAUCAAAUUCAGACAUCGCGGCAGUUUCUUUUCGUGCUGUCAAAAGCAGCUUUGAAAUUGACGAAUCGACGUUUCGAUUCUCUUUUGAUGGUGAAUAUCUGGUCAGUUGUUGACUUGCCAGGCAUAAAGCUCCACUGAUAUGGUUCAAUCAGUUUGUUCUCGGUCGGCUUUAAUCUUUCAUACAAUACGCUCGAUAUGCGAUAUUAAGGAGGCAUGGUGAACAUUUGGUUAGUUGUUCGUACAAUCAGGUUUUUGACCGUGUGCUUUAAGGGGGUAUUCUACUCUAGAAAUCAAAAUUUGGGCAGUUUUGUGAAUUUCAAAACAAAAAAAAAUAUUUUUACUAUCCAUUUUUUUAUGGUGUUUUUAUUGAUAACUUAAGAAUACAAAAAAAAAUUUACAAAAAAAUAUUAAAAAUUAAUAUGAUUAGAGGGGGGUAGAGACAGGUGUAAAAAAAAUGGCGCAUCCUGGUGACAUUGAUCCUGACUCUCCUGGUGGUCUGAAAAAAAUCAAAAGAAAUUCUUAAUCAGUAAGGGUGCUGUUAUAGUCCCUACCUCAGAGAACACGAAAAAUUUUUUUUUUUGAAAAAAUGGCGACUGCCUGAAAAUAAAAAUCUUUUAUUUACGCUUUUUUUUUUUAAAUUCCUGAAUUUAUUUUUAAAUAUUAAAAACAAAGGAUUAAGAAUUAUAUAAAGAUAAAGGAGUAUAUAAAGAAGGUCCACAUAAAAUUUCAUGUGAAUCGGUUGUAUAGAACUUGAGAUAAUGCCGGUACCGAAAUCGAAAUCGAAAUUCGUAGAGUUGCGUUCCCUAAAUUCACUCGGAACGAAAAUUUUUAAGUUUAGCGGAAUUUUUGUACGACAGGUUUGUGCUAACGGAGAAAUAAAUUUCCAUAUGUGAGAGUCAUGAUAGCUGCCAGGAACAUUCACAUAACGUAUUUUCAUUUUAUUGUCACAUAUCUGCAAAACAUUGAUUAAGAUGUUUGAAAUGCGAAUUUGUCACCAAACUUACAAUCAUGGCAUUGAUACUAAAGUAUCCUUUGCGGUUAUAAUAGAGAAACUUAUCUUUAGUUGGGGCAACGAUUUUAAUAUGUGUCCCGUCUACACAUAAAAUCGCGCCUGGAAAUCCAUAUUUCUGAAAAAAAUCCUUUUUCGCUUCCCUUUUUUCAACAUCACUUAAAUCGAGGUUUAUCCACUGAGGGCACAAAUGAGACUGAACCAUUGGAAUAUCGAAGUCUCUACCCACUCCAUGCUGAUAACCUCCUUCAGCUAAAAACCGUAAAACUGAAGACAAGCGAUGAAGUAAAGAUGUAGACGACGAUCUUGAAGAACUUGCAUUCCUCUCUAGAACAUCGAGGACAUACGUAAAGGCCGCCUUAUUUAAGCGAUAGUUUUUAAUAAACAUGUUUUAGAAAAACAAUUUUAAUAAAAUUUAACAAUGAAUUUUUAUGGAUUUAUGAACUGUACAUUGUUUCGUCCACAUCGAAAGGGUUACUCCUGUCCCUCAGUGAUUUUCGGUGAAUUUUUUUAUCACGCCGACUUCUCUCACGUUCUUCCUCAAGAAAUGAAAACGUUAGCGAAUACAUAUUUUUUGUUCGUAAAAUCAAUUUGAAUAUAAACGUUUCCACUUUUAUUAAUCCUAAUUUUUAUUUUUUCUUCUACACAGCUGAUUUCGAAAUGUCAAAAUUCAAAAUUAAGUCUGGCAACAAAAGUUUCGAAUUCACAUGAAUUCAAUGAUAGCAAAUUGUUCGUAUUCGUAGCGGACAUUCGUAUUCGUAGCUUGUCUACGAUGGAUUGCGUGAUAGGGCUGAAUUUUAAUUUUUAAAAAUCCUUUGGAGGAUAUGUUCUUAAGGGUCUAAACUUUAAAUAUAUGAAAAAAAUCGAAUUUUUCAAAGUUCUAGAGUAGAACACUCCCUUAAUCGUUCACAUAAUGCGCUCGAUAGAACCUUAUACGCGAUAUUGAUGCUCUCGUUCGACCAUAUUUUACAAAGGAACUGAUGCAUGCUCUUUAUCAGUUCUUCGCCGCUAUAUUUGAAUUGCUGCUGGAAAUACAGCGGCUCUACCGCUUUGUUGUUCUUCAGACGGGUAAUUGCUGUUCGAACCUCUUCAUGGUUGGGCAAAGGAACGGCUGCUCCAUCGUCAUCGAUUGGUAAUCGAGUUUGCCAUCUCCUAAUGUUAUGCUUUCUCUGCAAUUCAGCUGAGAAACUUCUUGAGAAGUGUUCCCUCCAUAAUUUUAGUAUGCUCUGGGUAUCAGUCACUAGAUCAACUCUGGAGUUUUUACGCAAUCCAUAAAAAAGCUAUGCUCCGGUCUUGAAACUUUCUGUUAGUCGUCGCAUCUUUUCAUAGAGUUUCCGAGCAUUACCACUAUCGGCCAGCUUGUCUAGCUCGCCGCCCAAACCAUUUUUGGAUGUUUCAUCAUGAAUGCUGCAGCAUGAUAUUGACAUCGUGGCGGCGGCAUAGAGAAGCCUCUUUGAACACAUCUUGGGUCACAUCGUCCUUUUCUUCCGUCAGAGCAUUGCAUAUAGGGGCAUUUGGCCUCAAAAACCGGACAAAAUUAUUUAAAGUGAUUUUAUGAAUGAAAAUUAAUAAAAAUACAUGAUUGUAUAUAAUAAUGCAAUAUAUUAAAAUAAAACGAGUAAGGAAGGGCUAAAUUCGGGUACAACCGAACAUUUUAUAUAUUUGAGUAGGGGAUUUUAACUAUUUUUGCUCAUCCCACAUACUACUGAUAUGCCAUAUACUCAAAAAAAUUUACCUUACAUACAAUCACCAAUCCUAUGAAGCAAAGUCAAGUGGAUGUUCAAAAUCCUUGGUAAUAGUUAUAUGGAGGUGGGUCAAGUUUUCGCCAAAUUGUAUCUAUUUUAGAUACAAUGAUAUGCUGUUAUGAGUAAAAACGCUCUGUAAUUUUUAUUUAGAUAACUCAAAUAUUACCCGAUAUAUCCAGCAUAAAGUCACUUGGAAGUUCGAAAAUCUUUUUAUUAGGUAUAUGGGGGCUAAGAGAAGUAUUGACUCGAUUCAACCCAUUUUUCAUACAAAGCUACUAUUGUCUGUGCGAAUUUCAAUCCCAUAUCUCACACAUUGAACUUUUUUUUCGGUCAAAAGUCAAUUAUAUGUACCGGGGUCCACACAUUCGGUACCUAGGGACUUGGAAAGUUUUGGUUGGAUUCGGACAACUUUUGGUCAAAAGAUGGCAUACUUUAAGGGAAUUAUUACCGCAAAGUUGUGUUCCGUUAUAUCAAUUACUUCUUUAUUUAUUUACUGGAAAGUGAAAGAAUCAAAAUCAAAUCAAUAAUUUUAAGUUAUGUUUGUUUAAAUGAGUUAAGCAUCCCCCCACUUAAACCGGAAAAACUAGCACACACUAAUACUUGACGACACCAUACUCGCACACAAGACAACUCACCACACUUGUACAUCCACCCACUCAGCAUAAAGGAUGGUCCCCUGAGUAGAUUCAACACAAUUGGUUCUAAGCAAUUCGUUCGAUACAUACAUUUCGACCGUCAACGUUCGCAUACACACUCUGCCGCGUCGACACCUCACGACACCUCCAAUUAAAAACUCCAACCACGAUUCGGGUCCGCUCGAUCGCCAGCAGUGACAAAUCGUUCCCGGAUUUGGAAUACCGCCGCCUCGCCCGUCGAUAUAAUAUUUAAUAAUAUUGUAUAAUCAAAUCAGCAAAUUUAAAUUUAAAUAAAAUUGUUGAAAACCCAAAUGUAUAAAAAAAACUGAUGUUUUUAUUUAAUUUAAUGCAGUGGUGAGUGCUCUCCAAUAUAUCUAAUAUACAUUUUGUUCAUGGUCCUUCGAGCCAUAACGAAAGGCACCAUCGGAUUUGUAUAGAAAACAGAAAAUACUACAUUAAAAGACUUAAGAUUUAAUUAUAUUAAAACAAAUUGUGUGGACAAAAGAAGGUAUAGUGCAGUAAAAUAAUAAGAAAGCAAUAAAAGGAGCAGUGCAGUGACACCAAGAACAAAAAAAAACACACAUGUUUAUAUAUAUUUUUUAAUAUUAAUAAAUUAAAAUGUACGUGCACUUGUGCUCACAUAGUUAAGCAAAGUGCAAAAACGAACAAAAACAAAAAAGAAAACUAUAAACCGAAUCAAAAGAGUGGGAUUAUAAUCAAAAAUACAAACAUAUUUACCAAAAAUAAAUGCAACUGUAAGAAAACAAAAACAAAAAACACUGUGCGCGAAUUCCUGCUGUAAAACAAAUAUAUAAAUAUACCAACAAAUUAAACUGGCGCGAAUUUAAAACAAAAUAAAGCAAUAAUUUCAACAAACAAAAAAAUAACGCGGACAGCCGGGCGCGAACAAAACAAAAGAAAAAAAAACAAAAUACAAACAACAAACACAACAGGUCCAACCAACUGAGAGAAGCGGAGGAGCAAAAUUGGCGGGAGAAACAUACAUAUACUAGAGGGGCACUUUACAUACGAAAGGAAUACCGAGUGAGCGUAUCAAGUCCUUUAAUAUAUAAUAUACACACAUGAAUACAUAAAUCCAAAACCUAAUUAUUCGAUGCCUACUCACCUUCGUGUAUUUAAACAUACUUCUUAACAAGAAAAAAAAAUAUUCAAAUAUUUACUUGCAAGUUUUCCAGCAUACCUCUUAUGUUUAACAAAAACAAUAAGCAAAAAGGAAAAAAAGCAUACAUACAUAUGUAUAUGCAAAUUUCUCCUCUAUACAUAACUUUAAUAUACAUACAUACAUAUAUGUUCAUAUCAACAACAUUAACAAAGUAAUAAACAACAAUAAUUUCUUACCAAUUGGCAAGCAUAUAUAAGUUAAGAAUGCUUGCACAAACUCGCUAACCUGUGAACACUUAUAUACGUACUUUUUGUUUAAGCUCAACUUCAUUACACAACACUCUUUUUGUAUUAGUUGAACUAAGUUUGAGUGAUUUCGUCAUUGGACAUGCGUACUAAGCAACUUGCUAUCGCGCUUGAUUUAAGUCGUGACAACAGCACUUUCAGAUUACAGCAAAUACAUGAGACGAAUAACGAUUGUUGCAUUGUCUAGCGGAAAGCGUUGGUGAAACUUCUUCGACCUUGGUUUGGUUGAGCGAAGAAGUUUUGUAAAGAGGCAGAAUAAAGAUUAACGUGGACAACGAAAGUUGAGUUUUAUUGAAUUAUUUUAAGUUAUACAAAGUGCAUACGGGAGCAUACCUGCACGUUACCCACCUCGCUUUUGCGCUCUCGUUCUAGUGCGGACUUACAUAUAUGUAUAUAUGUAAGCAAUCCUACGGCAUAGAAUCUGCCUGUAAUUUUAUACCCUACACUGGGUACCACAGGCUAAAUUAUUAAAAUUAUAAGUUCAAUAAAUUUUUCAAAGAAAAAUUUGUCGUAAUUUUCCGCUCCGUUUACGGUAAAGUAAAACUCACAAAAUACUUUGAUCGAAUACAAAAACAAAAUAAAAAUCAAUUUCGCAAAAUAUAAGUAAGUUUAAGAACACUAUAUAUAGUACAUAAAUAUAUUAUUGGUACAUCUACAAUUGUACAUACAUUCCUAUACAUAACUAUAUUCAUAUUUGCCCACAUUGGCAAACAUCCCACAAUACCUCUUGUUCUUUGGCAAACAAAAACAAGCAGGAUUGUGGACAAAAAGCUAAUUGAUCUCUCUAACGAGCUCUCAAUUGCUUAAGAACAGAAACAUAAUUAUAUAUACAUAAAAACAAAUUGGGCAUACUUAUGUAAAUAACGCAUAGAUCUCUUCAACGAGCUCUCAAUUGCACAAAGCAUAAGCAACGUCAUACGGACAUACAUACAUACAUACAAGUCCAAGUAUUAGAGUGUACCUAAAUACAAAUCAUUCGGACUUCAAAUAGUUUAAGUAAUAAAAAGCGCGGUUUUUAAUAGCAAUUAACAAUUCAAAUAAAUACAAAGCGUUAUUAAUAAAAAUACGUUUUUUGCUAAUAUUAUCCGAAAUAACAAACUCUUAUUUACAUAAAAGAGUAUUUCAUUUUCUAUACUUUAUCGCUUCAUAUAGUUACUAUAAAUCAGUUUACUCUGACAAAAAUUUCAAUACACAAUAUAAUAUAAAUGGUUAAUAACGGAAAAAAUCAUAGUACACAUGCAGCAGCUAUACGCUCAAAACAGGCUAUUAAAUUCAUUUCAGAAAGUGACAGUUUAACAAGAUACUGCACUAGAUUUGCUUCUUCACCGAUUCACGAAAACUCGGAAUCGUUAUUAGAAAUAUAAAGCCAAAAUCUCAAAAAUUUUUGGACUCGCCUCCAAGCGGCUCAUGACGCCAUAGUAGAAUCUGACGAUUCACACGUACCACAAAAUUUGAAACAAUCGGCUUACGCAAUAUAUGAAAACUGCUUAGACCAAUAUGAAGAAACAAAAGCUAUGAUCUCCGAUCAAUUAAAGCUCAUUAAAGCAAUUGCACUUACUCCCCACAGUAGAGUAGAGCUGCCACAAGAAGACAAUCAAGAGGCAAGUUCAGGCAUCCAACUCGAGGUGCCUGCAUGUGAUACAGAAACCUUUUACGGAGGUUAUGAAGAAUGGCCGUCCUUCCGGGACAUGUUCACAGACGUUUACAUCAACCAUCCACAACUAUCAAAUGUACAAAAACUGUAUCACCUCCGAUACUAAACAGAAGGUCAAGCAGGCGAAAUAGUUAAACAGUUCGCAUUAAAUGACGACAAUUUCAAUUUGGCUUGGGAAGCUCUAAAAGCUAUAUACGAAAAUGACAGAAUACUGAUCGAUAAGCAAGUAACGACACUGUUAAACUUUCCUAAAAUCAAGAAAGAAACAAGUGAAGUAUUUGUAAGACUACAAUCCACUGUUUCAAAUUGUUUGUCGGUUCUAUCGACACUAAAUAUUCCCACAGACAGCUGGGACCCAAUUCUGGUAAACAUUUGCACCGCCGCAUUACCAGAAAAGUCGUUACUUCUAUGGGAGAAAUCGCUCUCAUCACGAAAAAAGUGCCCAACGUGGCAACAAAUGAAAGAUUUUCUCACCACCCAAUAUGAAAUUGCGGAAAGGUUAGAAGAAAAAAUAAAUAAAACUAAGAACAAACACGACCAAAAUGGAACCUUAAAUAGACCCCAAGUUAGUAACAAAAUCAAUUCAAACAAAAACUUUUACAAAACGCAAUCGUUCACAUCCGAACAGAGAAAACAUACGUCAUGCGAACUAUGUAAAAGAGGGCAUAAACUUAUGUCUUGCGAGAAGUUCAAAAAAUUAAACAUUAACGAAAGGAACAACUUUGUCAAAAAGACUCUGUACAAACUACUUGUCCCAUACACACAAUCUUAAAAAUUGCAAAAGCAAAUUUAACUGCUUAUAUUGUCAUAAAAUACACAAUUCAAUGCUUCAUUACAGCAUCAUCCCAUCUCACCCCAAAGAAGCGCAUUUAUAAAACAAACCAAGGGUUUAAUUGCAAAAGCAAAUCCGAAAACUGAAAAUACUAAAAAUUGCCUACAGACAUCAUGCUGCUCAAAGGCACAAAAAUCUCAAACGCUGCACAGUGAAACACAAAGUGGACUAGUUGCAGAACCAGUUUCCACCAUACCAACUCAAGUUGGGGACAAAUACCUUAAUUCACAAUUAAGGAAAUAGCAAAAGUUAAGGAGACUUCCAUUAACAAACAAAACUAUACAAGAUCAGUAUUGUGAGCACUUCUCUAAAGCCUCAAAUACUCGAUCAAAUAAUGGCCGGUACGUCGUACGACUACCACAAGAGCCACAAUUAUCCAAUACUCCUCAAAUUGGUUUAAAAACAAAGUCAGGGUUACCUCUGACAGUCUAAAUUAUUAAAAGCACAUACAACUUUUCCGCCCCGCAGGAUGGCUUUCGCCAAUAAUGGAAAAAAAACACAAUUGUGAACAAAUCCUAGAGCGGUGGCGGGCUACUAAAUGCCAAAUUAGUGCGUACUAAAAAUAAAAUAUACACAAUAGUAUCAAAAAGUUGAAAAAUCGACAUUUUCAUACAUUUUCAAAAUACAUACAACACCAAAAGGAAGUCAAGGGAUCACCAUACUACCAAUGCGAUACAGUGACGCACCUAGGCUUAACAAAAGCAAAGGUAGCUCUUAUCGCACCUACAUUAGCGCUUCUUAUAAGGGUAGUUGGUGAGAAUCUGUUGUACAACUUGAACAUACCACUUAAAAAAUUAUUAUUCUAAUGAAGCCGUUCGCAAUAGCCGGACACUCUCUCGCAAGAACCCUCUAAUUCCACAUCUCAAAACUCAAGGCUAAAGAGCACGCACUGUGGCCAUAUCUGAGUCAGACGUGGCGUUGCUAUAUUUCAUAAAAAUAAAAAUAAAUGGAAACCAUUUCAAAAAAAACAGCAAAGAAUAUAUGACCGAUAUACCAAAUCAAUAAAAUGAGAAAUUGUAAAUAACCGCUAGUAAAAUAAAUAAAAGUAAACAAUUUUUUUACUAUAAUAAUAAGUCGUCAAAACACGCAAAAGGAAAUUACUACCUCAAGCACCACUACUUACAUAAAAUCCAAAUUUAUAUUAAAACCAAAAUAGCUUUUUACAGCUAAUAUUCUGCAACCUCGGCUACUUCGCCAACAGUAAGCCGAAUUACAUGUAUAUAAAUACUAGGCAAAAUAUUCGCCUAGGGGGCUCAGGAUGUUUAAAUGAGUUAAGCAUCCCCCCACUUAAACCGGAAAAACUAGCACACACUAAUACUUGACGACACCACACUCGCACACAAGACAACUCACCACACUUGUACAUCCACCCACUCAGCAUAAAGGAUGGUCCCCUGAGUAGAUUCAACACAAUUGGUUCUAAGCAAUUCGUUCGAUACAUACAUUUCGACCGUCAACGUUCGCAUACACACUCUGCCGCGUCGACACCUCACGACACCUCCAAUUAAAAAAUCCAACCACGAUUCGGGUCCACUCGAUCGCCAGCAGUGACAAAUCGUUCCCGGAUUUGGAAUACCGCCGCCUCGCCCGUCGAUCUAAUAUUUAAUAAUAUUGUAUAAUCAAAUCAGCAAAUUUAAAUUUAAAUAAAAUUGUUGAAAACCCAAAUGUAUAAAAAAACCGGAUGUUUUUAUUUAAUUUAAUGCAGUGGUGAGUGCUCUCCAAUAUAUCUAAUAUACAUUUUGUUCAAUGUUAUAUGGGAAGUAGUCGUGAUUGUACUCCGCUCACUUUCACACUGUGUCAUAGAAUUAUUAAAAUAAUAUCACAUACCAAAUUUAGUCGAAAUCGGCACAACAAACAAUUCUAAACAACCUUGAGUUGGAACAAUACAACAACCUAAUCUUAGAACAAAUGAAAUGUAUCUAAGCAAACAAUAUAUAUGUAAACAAACCUAAACAAAUAAUAUAAUAUACAUAUAUAUACAAAUACACUAGUAAACAUACUAGUUAGUAUAAAUAGAAGUAAAAGUCAUGUAAUAAGUUAGUCUAAGGAGUAUUAUUAAAGAGUACACUUAGGUGCAGCUCAAAAAAGUACUAGGUGGCGCCAUCUAUAUGUCGACUGGUGCGUUAGAAUCUGCUAUCAUUAUCGAUUGUCCAAUGAGAAUUUUAUGACAUUUCAUAUAUUUGGAAGUGAAGUUAAGUAUGUUUGUGUUAUCGAACAAAGAGCCAACAUUGAAUUUUGUUUUAAAUUUGGUAAAACUUUUACCGAAACGUAUCAAUUGAUGAAACAAGUUUAUGGCGAUGAUUGCCCAUCCCGUAGCAGAGUGCACGAGCGAUUUCAACGUUUUCAAAGUGGUCGUGAGGACAUAAAUGACGAUCAACAUGUGGUCCAAUCAAAAUCCGUGAUCACCGGAAAUUCCAUCGAAAAUGUGCGUGAAUUCAUCAAAAAUCAGACGAAAUCAUCAUUGACAUUCAUGGAAUGAAAUGAACAUCUCCAAAACAUCGAUUUAUCGCAUUUUGAGCGAUCAUUUGGGCUUACGAAAGGUGUGUGCACGGCUCGUUCCGCACAAAUUGACUGACUACCAAAAAUUGCUCAUAAUCCGUCGAUCGACGCUUGCGACGGAUUAUUUGACCAAAAAUCACAUUUUAUCCAUUAACCGUAUUUACCUGAUGUGGCACCGUGCGACUUCUUCUUUUUCCGAAAAAUGCAUUUGCCUAUGAAAGGAAAGCGUUAUGUAGACGUAGAGGCCAGUUAAAAGGCUUACACCGGCAUACUGGUGACCAACGAGCUUUUGUACCCUGCAAAAAGCUGUAUUGAAGCAGAAGGAAUAAAAUUAAUUGAUUUAGCCGGAAAACCAUUUGUUCUGUUUGUUUUUUUUUUUUUU